rnacentral:lncRNA from 1 species
AAGCAAGGAACCUUAGAGGUGGAGCCCAAUUUCCUCCUUCGACAGAAAAGAGAAUAGGGAACCGAUGACAAUAGUCACUCACAGUCACACAGCUUCAUGCUACACUGGUCAAGACUAUCCAACAUUGUCAUGGCUGUGGUCAAGCAGAAAUGGGAUCCCAGUAUGCUGGCCAGACUGGUCCCCAACUCCUGGACUGAAGCAAUCCUCCUGCCUCAGCCUCCCAAAGUGCUGGGAUUACAGAUGUAAGCCACCACACCUGGCCAGGAGGUUUUAUUCGUGAAUUGCUGCAUGUGACUAUGGUAUGGCUGGGAUUGAUCAAGCAUGGAUUCCCAGAAAAGAGAUUCUCAAAAUCACAAUGCCUACAGCAUCCUUUUCUUCAGAGUUUCAAAAGGAAGGAAAAAUGCUUAGGGAGA